GAGAAUAUACAGGUGAGUUAGUUGGGUUGAGAAUAUACAGGUGAGUGAGUUGGGUUGAGAAUAUACAGGUGAGUUAGUUGGGUUGAGAAUAUACAGGUGAGUUAGUUGGGUUGAGAAUAUACAGGUGAGUUAGUUGGGUUGAGAAUAUACAGGUGAGUUGGGUUGAGAAUAUACAGGUGAGUUGGGUUGAGAAUAUACAGGUGAGUGAGUUGGGUUGAGAAUAUACAGGUGAGUGAGUUGGGUUGAGAAUGUACAGGUGAGUGAGUUGGGUUGAGAAUAUACAGGUGAGUGAGUUGGGUUGAGAAUAUACAGGUGAGUGAGUUGGGUUGAGAAUAUACAGGUGAGUGAGUUGGGUUGAGAAUAUACAGGUGAGUUAGUUGGGUUGAGAAUGUACAGGUGAGUGAGUUGGGUUGAGAAUGUACAGGUGAGUGAGUUGGGUUGAGAAUAUACAGGUGAGUGAGUUGGGUUGAGAAUGUACAGGUGAGUGAGUUGGGUUGAGAAUGUACAGGUGAGUGAGUUGGGUUGAGAAUGUACAGGUGAGUGAGUUGGGUUGAGAAUGUACAGGUGAGUGAGUUGGGUUGAGAAUAUACAGGUGAGUGAGUUGGGUUGAGAAUGUACAGGUGAGUGAGUUGGGUUGAGAAUGUACAGGUGAGUUAGUUGGGUUGAGAAUGUACAGGUGAGUUAGUUGGGUUGAGAAUGUACAGGUGAGUGAGUUGGGUUGAGAAUAUACAGGUGAGUGAGUUGGGUUGAGAAUGUACAGGUGAGUUAGUUGGGUUGAGAAUGUACAGGUGAGUGAGUUGGGUUGAGAAUAUACAGGUGAGUGAGUUGGGUUGAGAAUAUACAGGUGAGUGAGUUGGGUUGAGAAUAUACAGGUGAGUUAGUUGGGUUGAGAAUGUACAGGUGAGUUAGUUGGGUUGAGAAUGUACAGGUGAGUGAGUUGGGUUGAGAAUGUACAGGUGAGUUAGUUGGGUUGAGAAUGUACAGGUGAGUGAGUUGGGUUGAGAAUAUACAGGUGAGUUAGUUGGGUUGAGAAUAUACAGGUGAGUUAGUUGGGUUGAGAAUAUACAGGUGAGUGAGUUGGGUUGAGAAUAUACAGGUGAGUGAGUUGGGUUGAGAAUAUACAGGUGAGUGAGUUGGGUUGAGAAUGUACAGGUGAGUUAGUUGGGUUGAGAAUGUACAGGUGAGUGAGUUGGGUUGAGAAUGUACAGGUGAGUGAGUUGGGUUGAGAAUAUACAGGUGAGUUAGUUGGGUUGAGAAUAUACAGGUGAGUGAGUUGGGUUGAGAAUAUACAGGUGAGUGAGUUGGGUUGAGAAUAUACAGGUGAGUGAGUUGGGUUGAGAAUAUACAGGUGAGUGAGUUGGGUUGAGAAUAUACAGGUGAGUUAGUUGGGUUGAGAAUGUACAGGUGAGUUAUUUUAAGAGUUGUCUUUUUCUUUGUGCAGCUGUUGUGGGUUGUGUUGUAGUAUGAAGUGUUGUUCUUGUGUUAUUAAAUGACCGAACGAGUUAAAAGCAAUGGCUGGCGCACACCUAAAAGAAAGUAGGUAGAGGUGCAUAUUAAUGGCUGGUGAACUGUAGCCUAUAAAAAUAGUUGGACAGUCGCUAUGUACAAGCUCACAGUAAUAUAUUGGGUAAACGGCCAACAUUUCGGCAUCACUGUGCCUCCUUCAGACCCCUGGAGUCACAGUGAUGCUGAAAUAUUGUUGGUUUCAUCCAAUAAAUGACUGAGUUGGGUUUUAUAUUCGUGUCUUAACUUCAAGCCUUGACUUUCACUGAGGUAUUGGUUCAGCCUUGCGCGGUAGCGGCCUUGCGGAUGACUCGGAUUCUGCUUGAAACCUUUAACGAAUAGCAGCUUCAAGUCAUCAUAUGUAAACAUGGACAGAAAGUGACCUUUUGAGUUCAGGAAAUGGGGGG